GACAGGGAUGCGGAUCAUUA
rnacentral:rRNA from 1 species